CAGCCUGGCCUUGAAUGCUUUCAGGCAUGGGGCAUUCAUAACCUCUCUGGGCAACCUGUUACAGUGUCUUUGAAGGCUUUGAGCAUUACUUGACUGCUGUAUUUCGGCAGUAUUAAUCUUCUCUUGCUCCUCAAGAUGUAAUUCAGCCGGUCUCCAGCCUUGCCCUCAACACUGCCACUGUGCCGUUUCUGUGAUCCUCCAAUACAGGAAUCUGUGGAGCAUGCCUCAACACUCACUCUUAAAAAUAAGGAGGAUCUGGUACCUAGCCAUAAACUGCUGAGUGCUGUUCCACUUCUACAGCAGUGGCCUCAGCCGUUCAGUUUCCUCAGUGCUGAAAGACAUCCAGCUAGUAUUCCUUUUCAUUCACUUACAGCAACCACUACAGUUUUCCUGUUCUAUUUAUGCCUAACACUGUCCCUUUUAAAUAAUAUUUGAUUACUUAUAUAAAAACAAUAUAUAAUAUUUGAGUAAUAAUAAUAAUUAAUAGUUCCAAAAAGUGUAUCAAAGCAACUACCUGCACUUAUGCCUCUACCUUGUGUUCCUUCUUCUACUACCAAUCCCAAUUUGCAGACACCUGAAUGUAAAAACUUUACACUUUCCCAAGCUCAUCAAAUCCCUUCACACACAUUUACAAAACAGAUGAAUGACAAAGAACCAUAUAGAUAAAUAUCCAAAGCAUUUGCUAUGAAUAAUUAGCAAAGUGUGAAUUUCUGAUGGACACUUGCUGGAAGCGAUGGAAGAUAUUUUGGAUAUGAUUUCCCAAAUAAGCUUUGAAGUGAUUCGGGAGCUUAAGUGCCAGCAACUUACAGUGAGAUUUUACACUCCUGAACUUCCAUUGUAGAAUCUAUUUUACAUGACUAAAAGCUUUUAGUUGCAUUGUCAAUACCUGUGAGACUACUGCGACCAUGCAGCAAGCCACAAAGAACCAGGCUGGAAACACUGCUGACCCAGUUUCAGUUUCAUACAGACCUUACAUUGAGGAGCAACUAAUAUCUGCAAUGCAUAAAAAUGUAAUUGAGAUCCUCUGGAUGGAGUAACCCGCUCUAAUGUGUGCUUGUACGCUGACUUUACAACACUAUUUAGCAGACCCAGGGAUAAAAAUGCAUCGCUGAGACAAGCGGCCUGAAAUCCUGAGGACUUUGCCACAUUCCCAGACCUCAACUCCCAGAGGCAGUAGCAACUGCAUCUGCAACCUUCAGGCUACAAUGUAAAAAGAUCUACUGCUUGAAUUAGCUUUUAGAACUUUAGGAAAGGAUUUAUGCAUUAAAAUUUCACUCAGUAGAAUGAAGACAAUGUUUUCCUUUCUCUUUUGCACAAAAUGAGAGAGAAACAACGUACAUGAAGACCCUGAAUCUGCAAUACUCAGGAGGAUAAAAACAAAUGAAGAAAAAACAAAAAGUAAGAAGGUGCCAGUUCAGGAGUGCUGCCAGG